AAAUUUUUAUAUAAUUAUAGGUUAAAUUUUAAUUAUUUAAAAUGUAUAGUUAUAAUUUUAAAUUUUGUUAAUCGAAUUAGAUUAGUACCUAAUUAGUCAAAAGUUAAAAAAGCAGAAGUAAAGUAAAAUUUAAACUGAAAGAAUAUUGGCAGAUUUUCUAAAUUAUCUUUGGAGGUUGAGUAAUAAUUGAGAACCCUCAUUAACUACUUUUUUAGUUGUCUCAUGUAUGAUCGUUUAUUAUAUGCUUAAGGGAUAUAAUUAAAAAUUUUUAUUUAAAAAAAUAGAUAUAUAUUUGGUUUAUAUAAAAGUAAUAUUUGACCUACAGUAAUUUGUAAUUGUGGAUCUAUUUUUUAGUAAAGUAGUGAAAAUGUAAAAGACAGUAAAAAAAUUUUUAUGAUUUUUUGAAGAUU
rnacentral:rRNA from 1 species